rnacentral:rRNA from 1 species
UACAGAGGGUGCAAGCGUUGUUCGGAAUUAUUGGGCGUAAAGGGCGCGUAGGCGGUGCUGUAAGUCUGUAGUGAAAUCUCUGGGCUCAACUCAGAGUCUGCUAUAGAAACUGCAGUGCUAGAGUGUGGGAGAGGUGAGUGGAAUUCCCGGUGUAGCGGUGAAAUUCGUAGAUAUUGGGAAGAACACCGGUGGCGAAGGCGGCUCACUGGCUCAUUACUGACGCUCAGGCGCGACAGCGUGGGGAUCAAACAGG